UUCUAAUUAUUCAAUAGGCUAAGAAACGUCACUUCAUGAAUUCUAAAAAAUGUGUACUUGGAGUACUGGCCCGCUCCGUUCAACGAAGUGGUUGCUCUUUUGUGCCGGCAAUGAGUUGCGCCAGGGCGGCGGCGGCUCCCUGCCUGUGGCGGCUGCGCACGGGCGCCCGGCGGUCGCUCUCAGCUUAUGGAAGAAGGAUCAUUGUCAGAUUUCGCAGUUCAGGAAUGACCUUAGACAAUAUCAAUUGGGCAGUUGUGGAUCGAAUAAUCUGGGUGGAUCAUGCAGGCGAAUAUGGAGCAAACCGCAUCUAUGCCGGGCAGAUGGCCGUCCUGGGUCGGACAAGCGUCGGGCCAGUCAUUCAGAAAAUGUGGGAUCAAGAAAAGGACCAUUUGAAAAAGUUCAGUGAGUUGAUGGUUACGUUCAGGGUCCGGCCGACAGUUCUGAUGCCCUUUUGGAAUGUGCUGGGGUUUGCACUGGGGGCAGGGACCGCCUUGCUCGGGAAGGAAGGUGCAAUGGCCUGCACCGUGGUGGUGGAAGAGAGCAUAGCACAUCACUACAACAACCAGAUCAGGAAGCUGAUGGAGGAGGACCCUGAAAAACACGAGGAACUUCUUCAGGUGAUAAAGAAAUUUCGGGAUGAAGAGCUUGAGCACCAUGACACAGGCCUUGAACAUGAUGCCGAAUUGGCUCCAGCCUAUGCCGUCCUGAAGAGCGUUAUCCAAGCUGGAUGCAAAGUGGCGAUAUAUUUAUCAGAAAGAUUGUAAAGUGUGUCCAGUUAUGCCUGCCUAUAAAAGAUGAUAGUAAUUUACCAAGUGACAUUUGCAGAGAAACAAGUGUACAGUUAUCAUUGUACUUUUGUACAAUGUGAAUUUUGUUAAUUAAAUUAUAAGGUUUCUUUUUAAAAAAAAAACAACAAAACUGCAGUGUUGAUUUUUCUCUGGGUUGUGUUUUCUGCCAUGAGACCGACAGGUCACCAGCCUUGUUCAAGUCACAACAAACAAAGCUGAACCUUGUUUGGUCUCAUACUUAAUUUUCUUUUAUAUACAUGUUUUUCUUUUACAUAUGUGUGUGUGUGUGUAUAUAUAUAUAUACACUUUUUUUUUUUUUUUAAGAGACAGGGUCUCACUCUUUUGCCCAGGCUGGGUCACAGCUCACUGCAGCCUCGACCUCCCAGCCUCAAGCAAUCCACCCACCUCAGCCUUCCAAGUAGCUGGGACUACAGGUGUGCACCACCACACCUGGCUAAUUCUUUCUAUUUUUUUGUAGAGGCAAAGUCUCACUAUGUUGCCAGGCUGGUCUCUAACUCCUGGACUCAGUGAUCCUCCCAUUUCUACCUCCCAAAGUGCUGGGAUUACAGGUGUGAGCCACUUCACCAGGCUCAUUUUCUCCUAAAACAUCAAGGAGAAAUCAUUAAUAAUGUAACGGGAAUCUUUAGGAGAAAAAACAAUUUGGUUUACUGAUAACAAAAGAUAAUUGGAAACAUGAGAGUAUUUGAGAUUGGGCAAGCAGAACUAUGAAGUCCAUCAAGUAAGUCAAAGACCAUCGUUUCCGUUCUGAAUUGUGGGUGAUAAGGGGUGGGAAAGUGCUACAGUCUGGAUGUCUAUGUCUCCCCAUAAUUCAUAUGAUGAAAUCUUCACCCUCAAGUUGAUAGAAGGUGGGACCUUUGGGAAGUGUGAGGUUAUGAGGGUGGAGCCCUCAUGAAUGGGAUCAGUGCCUUAUGAAAGGUCCUAGAGAGACACCUCAUCCUCUCCACAGUGUGAGACUUCAAGGGGUGUGGGCUCUGAGGAAGCAGACCCUUCACAAGCACACAUCAACCAGCACUUUGAUCACGGACUUCCCAGCCUCUAGGACUGAGCAAUAAAUGUUUGAUGUUUAUAAGCCA